rnacentral:rRNA from 1 species
AGUGAACGCUGGCGGUAGGCCUAACACAUGCAAGUCGAACGGCGGCACAGUAAGAGCUUGCUCUUACGGGUGGCGAGUGGCGGACGGGUGAGGAAUACAUCGGAAUCUACUUUUUCGUGGGGGAUAACGUAGGGAAACUUACGCUAAUACCUCAUACGACCUACGGGUGAAAGCAGGGGAUCUUCGGACCUUGCGCGAUUGAAUGAGCCGAUGUCGGAUUAGCUAGUUGGCGGGGUAAAGGCCAACCAAGGCGACGAUCCGUAGCUGGUCUGAGAGGAUGAUCAGCCACACUGGAACUGAGACACGGUCCAGACUCCUACGGGAGGCAGCAGUGGGGAAUAUUGGACAAUGGGCGCAAGCCUGAUCCAGCCAUACCGCGUGGGUGAAGAAGGCCUUCGGGUUGUAAAGCCCUUUUGUUGGGAAAGAAAAGCAGCAGGUUAAUACCCCACUGUUCUGACGGUACCCAAAGAAUAAGCACCGGCUAACUUCGUG